rnacentral:miRNA from 1 species
UUGAGUUGUAUGUAGCAUUAUAUUAAUUGCUACAUACAAUUACUUUUAAAGGCAAAAACCACAAUUACUUUUGCACCAAACUAACAUUAUU